rnacentral:lncRNA from 1 species
UGGGGGCUCUGUAAACUGUUUCCUGACAAAGUCCAAUACAUCUGACCAGCCUGUUGUUGAAGCAAAGUACUUCAUUUUCAGAGAAUAUUCUUGGGAGGGUAAUACAUUGGGGGUUAUUGUAUUCUAUUUUGCAUAUUAAGUACAAAACAGUUGGCUCAUAAGUUUUUUUCAUCACAUUUUACUACCAUACUAAACGUCUUGUCUCAGGUCAUAAUAUGCAAUUCCGAUUUCUCUCUGCCCCUGGCUUCCUUCGCAUCUAUUUUGGCUGCACUGGUGCGAAGUAGAUCGAGCGCUCAGGGAUGAGGCCCUGGCAGUUCUAAUCAGGGGAGAGGAGCCCCUCCAGAGCCUAUGGGAACCGAAGCCUUGAACACCCCCUACCUGCAAAGACCCACGUUAUGGGCUGGAACCAGAACCCUCGCUGAAUUCUUCAAAGGACAGAGGGUUAGGCGUGAAGUCUAGAGGAAUAAGACAGAGUUCCAUUCUGUUCUUCUGAACUGCAUUGGCCCACUUACAGUUUAUUCCUGAACAGCCUAUCAGCAAAGGCAUACGAAGCAAGUCAGAGGACGGAGAAUUUUUUUUUUUUUUAACGACAUUUUUAGAGGUCGGGUUAUAAAGAGAGUGUCCAUUUAGAUAUUGUUUAAGGGCGGCAUGGACUCCACAGCCCAGUGGUGGUGGCAAAGGUUAUGAAGACAACGAUAAGCGACGAUAAGCAACGAUAACCUGACUGCGGCUUAAAUCACCCUGGCAGAGUUGUUGGAAAAGACGAUCUGCCAAAGCAAGGGUGCGGCUCCACCUUCUCAGGGGCUGGGCAUUGCAGGAUGACCGGAGAGAUCGACUCCUGUCGCUACAUUUUUGCAGAGGUCCGGGCUGCUUUGUGGGGGUCCAGGAAGAGCUCCGCAGACCUCAUCCUCGUCCCCACCGUCCCCGACCCCGCGGCAGGGAGGCCCCGGCGCCCAAAACUGCUUUACGCAUUAAUUAUGAAAGUGAUCGCGCUAUUCAGGAUUAAGACUUGGAGGAGAUUUGGAAAAGACAAGCAACAAUCGAAAAGAAGAGGAGCGGCCAGCGCUUUGGAGGUUGCCUAA